rnacentral:rRNA from 1 species
CCUACGGGAGGCUGCAGUGAGGAAUAUUGGUCAAUGGGCGAGAGCCUGAACCAGCCAAGUCGCGUGAGGGAGUACUGCCCUAUGGGUUGUAAACCUCUUUUGUUGGGGAGCAAAAGCCGGACGUGUCCGGCUGUGAGAGUACCCGAAGAAAAAGCAUCGGCGAACUCCGUGCCAGCAGCCGCGGUAAUACGGAGGAUGCGAGCGUUAUCCGGAUUUAUUGGGUUUAAAGGGUGCGCAGGCGGAUUUUUAAGUCAGCGGUAAAAUCGUGGGGCUCAACCCCAUCCAGCCGUUGAAACUGGGGAUCUAGAGUGUGCGAGAGGUAUGCGGAAUGCGUGGUGUAGCGGUGAAAUGCAUAGAUAUAACGCAGAACCCCGAUUGCGAAGGCAGCAUACCGGUGCACAACUGACGCUCAGGCACGAAAGCGUGGGUAUCGAACAGGAUUAGAUACCCUUGUAGUC